GAGUGACCUGCCAUGUGGCUAUGAGGCUGAGGACCAGGCCAAGAUUUUCCCUCUCCACCAAGAGACAGCAGCCAGCUAAUCUCCCACAGGACGAUGGCUGCAUACUUUUGCCUUUCAGGUAGCCCCAGGGCACUUCUCCUGACCAGCCUCCUAUGGCCCCCUUUCUUGCCCACACCUCUUUGGUUCCCUUUUAUUUUUUUAACCAUCUAAAGACUUACUCAGCUCCUGCCUUCCCCUGCUGGGGGGAUACAUCUGUGCUGCCCUGUGUGUUCUGAACACUCUGACCGCUGACCUCUCUUUGUUCCCUAAAGCUUUCCCUUUGGCUAUUGUAGUAACCAUAGUGCUGCUUUCUGCCACUAGGGGUCACUGCCAUACGUCAAAAGAAGUGAGCAAGAGCUACUGUCCAUCUACCACAAACACGUUAUAGACCAGUGAUAGCAAACCUAUAGGCUGCAGCAGGCUGUUUGUAUCAUUGAAAGCUCUAAAAGUUUCUAAGAGGGACUGAGGCCUCUUCUCUCAGCAUGCUGCCAACCUGUGGUCUCUGAUACUAACUCCCUCCCCAGCCCCUGUUGUUGGACUGUACUGUUGGAUGUCUUCUCUUACUUACUCUGUAUUUCUUUGUACUCUGUAUCUAUAUAUCAGAAGCUGCUGCUAUGUUUCUCCUCUCUGUCCCGCUCUCUAAGUAUUUAAUAAUGUAUUUAGCAAUUUCUAAGCAUAGUCUACCCUCCUCAUUUGGGACAAUAGAGAGGAGGGGAAAUGUUUCUGCUUUCUCUCAUACACUCUUCUCUCACACUGAGUGAUGUUAAUCACUGAGCAGAGGUCACAGAGAUGAUAAAGAAGAAAUGGGAACUGGAGGGCUAUGAUCCUUCUGUCUCUCACACACAUCCACACAUAUACACAUGUACAUACAAAGCCUUAAGUAGAAGAAUGUCAGCACCCUCAGAAGACAGAAAUAUAUUCUUCCUUCCUCCUUUUUGCGUGAAUAAUACAGAGGAGGGUGAAAUGGAAGGGCUUCUAAAUUAUAUACAAAUAAUUUUCUUCAUACACCUCUCACCCGAAUCAAGAGAUCCCAGGUAUUUACCUCUGUCCUACAGAGUCUGCCUUUUGCCUCCUUCUCCCUGUUUUUCCCUGGACUGAGAAACAUGGAUUGUUCAAGGGAGGUUUCCUUUUCUCGUCCAAGGCCCUUUUAAUACUCUGUAUCCUAGAUCUCAUGACUAGAACUCAGAGUUGAUUAAAGAUAUUUUGAAGAAAUGAGACAGACCCCUCCCAAUAACCUGUCAAAUGGCUGCUCAUCUGUGGUGAUAGUAACAGGCAAGUGUCAUCAGAAUGAUUGAUUCCUUGGGUCUAGAGAAAUGAACUAGCUGGAAGUUGCUAAGUGUUUUUGUUUGUUUUUUUCUUUUUGUCACAGUACCCUCAGGUUGAAGGCAAUGAGCUGGAUUUCUUUCUCCCAUAUUGGGUCUCAUGUUCUUCCUUUCUCUGCCUUUUGGUUUGGGGCUUCCAGUUCAUUGGCAAAAUAGCUCUCUCUAGAUGCUUUUCUUUCAAGCUGGAGCCUGGCUUUUCCCAGAAUACAUUUACCUCCACAAAGAGUUCCUUGUAUAAUGUCCCCAUCUGGUAUUAAGUGCACUUUAAAGAAAGGGCCAGGGCAGAUUUUCCAGGGGUGGUGGAGCCCAAGGGCUUGACCCCAGCCAUUCUCAGCCCUGCACCCCCUCUCUUAUAGUUGAGUGGACUGUUGCUUUAGUUCCACAUGGCCCUUUCCUUCCACUUGGUGCUAAGGUGGUUUUCCAGGUAAAUGCACUGAUGAAGAUCACUAGCCAGUUCAAACCAAGAAUUCCAGUGCCCAGAUACCAGUUUUAUUUAGCACAAAAGACCUGGAUCUGGCUGGGUAUGGUGGUGCACACUUGUAAUCCCAGCACUUGGGAGACUGAGGCAAGAGGGUUGCAAGUUCGAGGCCAGCCUGGACUACAUAGUGAGUCCAGGGCCAGCCUACAUAGCGAGACCCUGUCUCAAAAAAUAAAUAAAUAAAUAAAUAAAUAAAUAAAUGAAUGAAUGAAUGAAAAGACCUGGAUCCUCCAACAGCAGGGCAGUUCAUCCAUCACCUGACUUCCUCUAAGUUAGGAAAGCAAGCUCAGUCUGAGUGCAGCUGGCAAAUGCUGGACAUCAUACCCUGUGAUGCCUCCCAGUGAAAAAGCCCUACUUUCUUUACCUGUUGAGUCCUUUUUUGGAAGUUAAGGAGAAAAAACAAGGGAAAAAAUACCAGAGGGGUGUGGAAUAAAUCCAAAGUAGUAAUUUUCAAAUACUUAAAAUAAAUAUUAUAUAGAGUCCUGAUAUAAAAUAUAACAUUGUAGACCUGGGUAGUUUGCAUUUUCUUUUUCUGGUGGAAUAUGCUUCAUUAGUUAAGGAUCCUGUGAAGAGUCCAAAGACACCUUGAGGGUUCUACAGAAUAGUUUGACAAUCACUGCUCUGAGGAAGGAGGUCCAGUCUGGCUGUCCUACAUCGGCAACUCACAGGAUAGAGGAUUGGGGUGGUACAGAUGAACCGUGCUCAGACCCAUUGGCGAAUAAGGAAGACACCAGCACACCCAUAGACUUAAGCUAGUAUUUGCCAACAGGACAUCUAAGAAUUCAGAAUUCAGGGGGCUUCUGUAAUCUUGCCAAAAAAUGAUUUUUUUUUUGAGACAGGGUCUCAUUAUGUAGUUCAGACUGGCCUUGAACUCACAGUGAUCCUCCUGCCUCAGCCUUCCAAGCACUGGGAUUAUAGGUGUGCACCACCACACCUGGUUCCAAAUGAUUCUUUGGUUGAUUUUUUUUUUUUUUCCGUACGGGAUUGAAUUCGGGUCCUUGCACUUGCAAGGCAGGCGGUGAAACCACUGAGUUAAAUCCUGGCCCUCCAAAUGAUUCUUUAAAACAAUGUAUAAGAAAAUGUGAAAGUGUAGGGCAGAUGAAGAGAGAGGUGACACAGAAGAAGCAGCCUGCUCUUUAGCAAGAUGUAAGGGAAAUAUAAUUCACUUGCAGAAAUAAAAAACAACACACACACAAUCCUUCACCAGAAGCUUCAUACUACAUCCUCUUCUUCCUGUUCCCUACAUCACGUCCCUUACAGAGAGCCAGGAUCACCACAAGGGGUACCUGGCCUGCCCACUCACAUCUGACAAAAUGUUGCAUGCCAGCGCGGAAAACAAACCAAACUGCACAAACCCCAGUGUGUAUUUACUUGGUGUACAUAGAUAUCUUUAAAAUAAAAUAAAUUCAAUGAUAACUUUAUGUUGUUGUAAAUCUUCUUUAUCCCUCCCUGAUCUCACUCCCUUCUUUGUAUGUAGUGGCACUUAAUAGUGUGGUAAAUAUCCU
rnacentral:lncRNA from 1 species